UUGAACGCUGGCGGCAUGCUUUACACAUGCAAGUCGAACGGCAGCGGGGGCUUCGGCCUGCCGGCGAGUGGCGAACGGGUGAGUAAUGCAUCGGAACGUGCCCAGUCAUGGGGGAUAACUACGCGAAAGCGUAGCUAAUACCGCAUACGCCCUGAGGGGGAAAGCGGGGGAUCGCAAGACCUCGCGUGAUUGGAGCGGCCGAUGUCGGAUUAGCUAGUUGGUGGGGUAAAGGCCUACCAAGGCGACGAUCCGUAGCGGGUCUGAGAGGAUGAUCCGCCACACUGGGACUGAGACACGGCCCAGACUCCUACGGGAGGCAGCAGUGGGGAAUUUUGGACAAUGGGCGCAAGCCUGAUCCAGCAAUGCCGCGUGCAGGAUGAAGGCCUUCGGGUUGUAAACUGCUUUUGUACGGAACGAAAAGACUCCUUCUAAUAAAGGGGGUUCAUGACGGUACCGUAAGAAUAAGCACCGGCUAACUACGU
rnacentral:rRNA from 1 species